rnacentral:rRNA from 1 species
UACAGAGGGGGCAAGCGUUGUUCGGAAUUACUGGGCGUAAAGGGCGCGUAGGCGGCCUGUUAAGUCGAACGUGAAAUCCCCGGGCUCAACCCGGGAACUGCGUCCGAUACUGGUGGGCUCGAAUCCGGGAGAGGGAUGCGGAAUUCCAGGUGUAGCGGUGAAAUGCGUAGAUAUCUGGAGGAACACCGGUGGCGAAGGCGGCAUCCUGGACCGGUAUUGACGCUGAGGCGCGAAAGCCAGGGGAGCAAACGGG